AUUAAGGUUUAAAUUCUAUAAGUUCCUGUUUGUUGUGUUGGGGCGGCAAAGAUAAAAAUUAGUAACUGUCAUUUAAUUAGAAUAAUUAUAAUUAGUUUAGUUGAUCCUUUAUUAGAGAUUAAAAGAUUA
rnacentral:rRNA from 1 species